rnacentral:rRNA from 1 species
UCCAGAGGUCCCAAGCGUUGUUCGGAUUCACUGGGCGUAAAGGGUGCGUAGGUGGUCGGGUAAGUCUGAUGUGAAAUCUCCGAGCUUAACUCGGAAAUGGCAUUGGAUACUAUUCGGCUGGAGGUUUGGAGGGGGGACUGGAAUUCUCGGUGUAGCAGUGAAAUGCGUAGAUAUCGUGAGGAACACCAGAGGCGAAGGCGGCUACCUGGACAAUUGCUGACGCUCAGGCACGAAAGCGUGGGGAGCAAAAGGG